UCAUGUACUUCUAUACACAAAUCAGGCGCAGGUUCAAACUCAAAACGCUGUGCAUUGCUGCAACGGUUUCCUGGUUGAAUGACAUGUUACCCCGGAACGUUGUGAAACGCUUUGAGUAAUGUUUUCUCUUGUUUGGAGAGAGUGUCUCUCUUUUAUUGGCUGUGUCACAGGUGAUAUCCAAUCAGCAGAGACGUGUGUGUAAACUAAAAAAGCACCCCCUGAAAAAUAGAGAAGGCAGAGU